GAUGAAGAAACGCAGCGAAAUGCGAUAAGUAGUGUGAAUUGCAGAAUUCAGUGAAUCAUCGAAUCUUUGAACGCACAUUGCGCCUUCUAGUAUUCUGGGAGGCAUGCCUGUUUGAGCGUCAUUAAACCUCUCUCAAGUAUGAUUACUUGGAUGUGAAGGAAGAGUACCUUAAACUUAAGGAGUGUUCUCCUUUGAAAUUGAUUAGCAGAUGGUAAUGUUAUUAAAUCCCUGAUGUUGUAAGAAAUAACAGUGGUUUUGUAGACUAUUAUCUAGCUUUAAAUUAUAAUUUUUAUUAUGGUUGACCUCAAAUCAGGUAAGGAUACCCGCUGAACUUAAGCAUAUCAAUAAGCGGAGGA
rnacentral:misc_RNA from 1 species